CGCAAGAUAAACUAUAUUGUUUAAGGAUACAAAGUUAGUUGAUAACACCACAGGGAGAGCAAGGAGGUGAACACUUAUAAAGUGAAGGGAGCUCUGGGGCAGGGAGAAGACUGUCUCGGGAGGGGGCAGGCUCCCUUUCUUGAAAUGGCUGGUGAUUCCACAGGACUGACUCAGGGACUCGGAAGAUAAAAAAUCGAAAUCAACACUCUUCAAGAACUCCAGUUGCUCUUGAAGGAGUGAGAAAUCACUGGACAAUUAGCAGUCUCAAAAAAAUGAGGCCCAGUGAUCACAAAGCACCUGUCUCACACUGAAGACCAGUUCUCCUCUCUUCAUCCACCUCUUGCUGUCUUUGAAACAGAGGAUCAACAAAUGGUGGGACUGUAACCUACAAGAGAAAUGAGACUCUUUGAGUACCAGAGUGCAGUCUGUAUUAAGCUUUUAAAAUGUGUCCCACAUAAAGAUGGGAACAAUAGACCCUGAGGACUACAAGAGUGGGAAGGGCAGGAGGGGGCGAGGGUUGAAAAACGACCUAUUCGGGACUCUGCUUACUACCAGGGUGACAGAUUCAAUUGCACCCCAACCUCAGCACCCCAACCUCGUACCCCAAUAUACCCGUGUAACAAACCUGUAUGUGUACCCCCGAAUCUAAAA
rnacentral:lncRNA from 1 species